AACACCCUCGUGAUAUCAAAGUAAAUAAUCGUGCAGGGGGAGGCGGGGGAAGGGGUGAAUUCAGCAAUGUUAAAAGCUAAACAACAGAUCUAUCUCCGGACGCUGCUGCUUCACUCAAUUGCAACUAAUAACCCAUUAAAGACAGCGCAGGGGGAACUGAAUUCUCUCCUGCAAAGCGACAUAAAUCCAGCGAAAACCCAUUAAACCACCACCACCGCCACCAAGCCACGCAGCACUACGCACCACAGCAAACAACAGUGAAGGCGAUGGUUACUGCUGUCAAUCUUGGCAAUCAAUGUGAGCGGCCAUGUCGUAAGUAUUCAAAGCAUUUCCCGUCGUGCAACAUCAGAAAGUGAGUGGCCAGGGCAUUGAUCUGAGGAAGGCAAAAGGAGGCAGGGCUCCCCCGCCCAGACAGCACAGGCAAGAUGAGACAACACAGGGAGAGAGAGGAGGGAGAGGGGAAGGGAGGGAGAGACAGCGAGAGAGAGAGAGAGAGGCUGGGAGCGAGCGGGGAGAGCAACAACUGCGGAGAAAGUGAGCACAAAACAGAAAGUGAAAUCGGCGCGGGCUGCCAGCCGCAUCCCCGCGCAGCUAUCACCACUCACAGGGCCAUUAGACACAUGAAACCCUACACCGCUCCGCUCCCGCUAAUGACCACUGAUUGCCCGGAGUGGUGAGGAAAGAAAUUUGCAGACUAGGUUAGACCCAGAAGCACACUCAGCCCCACUGCGAAUGAACCUGGCUUCAGCAGGACGUGAUGAAAAUUGAACAUUAACGCGAUGGCACAGGACAGAUAUGACCUGGCUCUGAUUCAUUUUGUUAACAAGCUGUAAAACUCGACACACUGCUGGAGGCAUGCACGUUGCAUCCUCUGCUAUCCGAGGUGCUAUCGCCCCUCUCGAGCCGGGUUCAGGGAAAAGGAGUUGUAAGUCAGAACCUCUUGGAAUAGUGGACCUGUUUUAUACGAUAUUUUUGGCAAUUCCACUACAAUAAAAGGAGUAACCAAGUCCUAUUCGGCAAGUAGCAAGCACCUUGAAAUAGAACUUUAUAAUUAUCUAGUAAAGCUUUAUCAUCAAAUUAGCUGAUGAGAGCAUAGUAGCUAAUUCCCAUGCAUUCUUUCAAUUCUAAUAAAAGACACUAAAAAGUGAAAUUCAGAGAUUAGGGGAAAUUGUACGAUUGUAAAUACUGAGUUUGUAUUCACCUGUAUUCGGCUAAUUCAAAGUAUUCACCUUGCUGCAGUUACCCGGCGUAUGGGAUUAACAGCAGUAAAGAGCUGCCUGUCAAGAUAUUACUCUGUCCUUUUUAAUCUUUAAUUAUAAGAAUUCCCGUGAUUGGCCAUUAACGCUUUCCUUGUAACACAUUUAAACCUGCUGCAAGUAAAGGAAAUACCUUGACUUUUUGCACAACUAGUGCAGCUUUGACACGCAAAAAGAUUUUCAAAAAAUUAAAAUGAGCUAUGUAAGAAAAGAGAUGUAAACCAGAAUACAAGGACGAAUAGUCUGCCUCAGUCUGCAACUCUAGUAAUUUGUUGCUGGAAGUUUUUUUCUUCCAAGAAACAGAAAGGAAAAAAACCCAAGCCCUCCUCAAAUGCAGCGCCUUAUUAAAUACAAAGCGGGAAUGGGACAAGAGAUAAUUAAGGCAUCAGAUAAAUCUAACCGCCCACCUAGCUCCAAAUCGGGGGAGCAUCCCGCUGCACUCCCGAAAUUGCAGUGCAGGGAAUGCCACUGGGUUGGGGCAGGACGCGGCAGGGAUGCGGCCACGCUGCCAUGCGGAGCGCAAGGAACGCUCUCCAGCUUGUUGCUUCCCCGUGUGAUCAAUUAAGUUACAGAUGUAACUCACAGCGCCGGAGAGCGGCAACUUCUCGGUGCCAGGAAAAGAGGAUUCCUUGGGCAUUGUAUGCAAAUGUGAGCGUGUGUGUGUGCGCGCUGCACGGGGAUAGUUGUGAUUCCCUCUUUGUUUGCAUAAGUGAACACCCGCCGUGCGGAUCCGCAUACACGUGCCGAGAAACAAGAAAACGCUUUCACUUGGAGCGUUACCCCACGUUCAGAAACGCCUUUGGAGUGACUGCUGCCCUUGCUUUGGCUUCAUGAAGGCUAAAGGCAGGCAGAUGUUGAGGAGGGAUGCUGACCUGCUGGGGGUGCCUGCACAGGGAAGGGACUUCAGGCGCUCACAUCAGGUCGGGGCACUUACCUGUGCACAGCUGUCAUGGCAUUUUGCGCCGUGUGUCUCACCAAAUGCCUUAAAGUAAAGCAAUGUUCAACAAGCGAGGCAACCUGUCUGUGUGCUAAGUUGUACGUACCGCAUCUUUAACCUGAGCAGCAAACCUGCAACUCCUGGAGAGUUGGCGAAACAGCCUCAGAAGUUUUGGACUCAAAGGGCAAGAAAUUUCACUUUAAAAGUCAUUCACCCACUUCUAAACUGCCCUCUCACCCCAGUUAAUGCCGGACAAUUAAGAGGCAUGUUUAUAAAUUCCCUCUGCGGACACUGUCCGAUAAUGAAGGUUUGUUACAGGCUUGCUAAAGAUGUUCAGAGAAACUUUUGCGAAAUAAUCAACAGCAUCUGAGAGAAAGCUAAAGGAAAAGAAGUUAAAACCUGAUAAUCCGAUUGGGAAAAAGUUUCGUUAGACUAGAUAGAAGUAAAUUACUGCACGUUUCUUCAAAAGCAAACCCAUCAGCUGAUACGAGUUCCCCUAGAACAAGAACCUCUGGCUAACUCCUCCAAAUUUAGGGGACGUUUGCAUUUAGUAACACUCAAAGCUAAAGAAAAAACUCUGAAUUCCUUACAGCGUCAUCUGCCAACAAAAUGUAUUGUCUUGGCAGAGAAAGGAUCAAGGAGAUUUUAAUUUCAUUUUAAACUGUGCAUAAUCUUGAUAGCGAAGGGAAAAGCCGCAGCAACAAUCUCCCCGCUCCACGCCCCCGUUCAAAAAAAAAAAAAAAAAAAAAAAAAAAAAAAAAAAAAAAAG